UCCAGACUCCUACGGGAGGCAGCAGUGGGGGAUAUUGCACAAUGGGGGGAACCCUGAUGCAGCGACGCCGCGUGGGUGAAGGAGCGUUUCGGCGCGUAAAGCCCUAUCGGCAGGGAAGAAGGAGGACGGUACCUGACUAAGAAGCCCCGGCUAACUACGUGCCAGCAGCCGCGGUAAUACGUAGGGGGCAAGCGUUAUCCGGAUUUACUGGGUGUAAAGGGGGCGCAGACGGCAGCGCAAGCCAGGAGUGAAAGCCCGGGGCCCAACCCCGGGACUGCUCUUGGAACUGCGCGGCUGGAGUGCAGGAGGGGCAGGCGGAAUUCCUGGUGUAGCGGUGAAAUGCGUAGAUAUCAGGAGGAACACCGGUGGCGAAGGCGGCCUGCUGGACUGCAACUGACGUUGAGGCCCGAAAGCGUGGGGAGCAAACAGGAUUAGAUACCCGGGUAA
rnacentral:rRNA from 1 species